GAUGAACGCUGGCGGCGUGCCUAAUACAUGCAAGUCGAGCGAACAGAUGAGGAGCUUGCUCCUCUGACGUUAGCGGCGGACGGGUGAGUAACACGUGGAUAACCUACCUAUAAGACUGGGAUAACUUCGGGAAACCGGAGCUAAUACCGGAUAAUAUAUUGAACCGCAUGGUUCAAUAGUGAAAGACGGUUUUGCUGUCACUUAUAGAUGGAUCCGCGCCGCAUUAGCUAGUUGGUAAGGUAGCGGCUUACCAAGGCAACGAUGCGUAGCCGACCUGAGAGGGUGAUCGGCCACACUGGAACUGAGACACGGUCCAGACUCCUACGGGAGGCAGCAGUAGGGAAUCUUCCGCAAUGGGCGAAAGCCUGACGGAGCGACGCCGCGUGAGUGAUGAAGGUCUUCGGAUCGUAAAACUCUGUUAUUAGGGAAGAACAAAUGUGUAAGUAACUAUGCACGUCUUGACGGUACCUAAUCAGAAAGCCACGGCUAACUACGUG
rnacentral:rRNA from 1 species